GUGCCAGCAGCCGCGGUAAUACGUAGGGGGCUAGCGUUAUCCGGAAUUACUGGGCGUAAAGGGUGCGUAGGCGGUCUUUCAAGCCAGAAGUGAAAGGCUACGGCUCAACCGUAGUAAGCUUUUGGAACUGUAGGACUUGAGUGCAGGAGAGGAGAGUGGAAUUCCUAGUGUAGCGGUGAAAUGCGUAGAUAUUAGGAGGAACACCAGUAGCGAAGGCGGCUCUCUGGACUGUAACUGACGCUGAGGCACGAAAGCGUGGGGAGCAAACAGGAUUAGAUACCCUGGUAGUCC
rnacentral:rRNA from 1 species